CUAGCAUGCGAGUCGAAUGUAGCAAUACAUGGCGUACUGCUCAGUAACACGUGGACAACCUACCCUCCGGACGGGUAUAAACCCGGGAAACUGGGUAUAAUCCCCGAUAGAUCUCGGUCGCUGGAAUGCCCCGAGAUCGAAAGCUCCGGCGCCAGAGGAUGGGUCUGCGGCCUAUCAGGUAGUAGUGGGUGUAGCGUACCUACUAGCCUACGACGGGUACGGGUUGUGAGAGCAAGAGCCCGGAGAUGGAUUCUGAGACACGAAUCCAGGCCCUACGGGGUGCAGCAGGCGCGAAAACUUUACAAUGCCGGGAAACCGUGACAGGGGGAUCCCAAGUGCUCAUGCAUUGCAUGGGCUGUUCUUUGGUCUAAGUAACCAGAGGAGU
rnacentral:rRNA from 1 species